rnacentral:rRNA from 1 species
GACGAACGCUGGCGGCGUGCUUAACACAUGCAAGUCGAACGGAAAGGCCCUGCUUUUGUGGGGUGCUCGAGUGGCGAACGGGUGAGUAACACGUGAGUAACCUGCCCUUGACUUUGGGAUAACUUCAGGAAACUGGGGCUAAUACCGGAUAGGAGCUCCUGCUGCAUGGUGGGGGUUGGAAAGUUUCGGCGGUUGGGGAUGGACUCGCGGCUUAUCAGCUUGUUGGGGGGGUAGUGGCUUACCAAGGCUUUGACGGGUAGCCGGCCUGAGAGGGUGACCGGCGACAAUGGGACUGAGGGACGGCCCAGAAGCCUACGGGAGGCAGCAGGCGGGAAUAUUGCACAAUGGGCGGAAGCGUGAUGCAGCAACGCCGCGUGCGUGAUGAUGGGUUUCGGGUUGUAAACAGCUGUGUCAGGUGAUGAAGCGUGAGUGACGGUAAUGGGUCAAGAAGCAACGGCUAACUACGUG